rnacentral:rRNA from 1 species
ACGGGUGAGUAACGCGUGGGAAUCUACCGAGCCCUGCGGAAUAGCUCCGGGAAACUGGAAUUAAUACCGCAUACGCCCUACGGGGGAAAGAUUUAUCGGGGUUUGAUGAGCCCGCGUUGGAUUAGCUAGUUGGUGGGGUAAAGGCCUACCAAGGCGACGAUCCAUAGCUGGUCUGAGAGGAUGAUCAGCCACAUUGGGACUGAGACACGGCCCAAACUCCUACGGGAGGCAGCAGUGGGGAAUAUUGGACAAUGGGCGCAAGCCUGAUCCAGCCAUGCCGCGUGAGUGAUGAAGGCCCUAGGGUUGUAAAGCUCUUUCAACGGUGAAGAUAAUGACGGUAACCGUAGAAGAAGCCCCGGCUAACUUCGUGCCAGCAGCCGCGGUAAUACAAAGGGGGCUAGCGUUGUUCGGAAUUACUGGGCGUAAAGCGCACGUAGGCGGAUAUUUAAGUCAGGGGUGAAAUCCCGGGGCUCAACCUCGGAACUGCCUUUGAUACUGGGUAUCUUGAGUAUGGAAGAGGUAAGUGGAAUUGCGAGUGUAGAGGUGAAAUUCGUAGA